rnacentral:lncRNA from 1 species
AACUGGUCAUUAUGCCAGGAGCCAGGAGAGGGCUGGGCACAGUGACUUUCAGGCAGGACAAAGUGGAAGAGACUUCAUGGUGCAGCCUGUGGCUUGUCACACCAGCCUGCUCCUCCAGACUCCAGGGCUCCCAGGGUUGCCAGUGGGCACUUUGCCUGGCAGGCUGGCACCUGUCUGCCCUAUCCGAGUCCUAGGGCACAAUGCCUGCUGGAUCCUGGACCUGGAGCACAUUGUGUCCACCAGCGCAGCCUGCUCCCUGGAGGACAUGAUUUCCACCAGCUCAGUUCUUGCCCUUGGGAAGAAUGGUUCCCAGUGCCCUAGGCAGGAGGGUGCUGCGCCAGCCACACUGUGCCCGCUCCCCUCUCAGGAUCCCAGUGUGUAUGGCUGUUUUGCUUGAACACAUGUCUGCAUACCACGUGCCUGUGGAGGACAGAAGAGAACAUUGGAUCUCUUAGAACUGGGUUACAGAUGGUUGUAAGCUGCCAUGUAUAUGCUGGGGACUCAACCUGGGUCCUCUGCAAGAGCAGCCAGGGCUCUUAACUGCUGAGCCGUUGCUCCAGCCCUUUCACUUAAUGCUUUCGAGACAGGAUCUCUCAGCAAAACUGGAGAUGGUGGCUCACUAGACUGCUUGGCCAUUAAGCCCCAGAGAUCUCCCAUCUCUGCUUUCCCAGCGCUGGGAUUACAGACACACACCGCUGUGCCUGGCCCAUCCUGUGAGUGCUGGGGACACAAAGGCAGGCCCUCAUAUCUGUGUGGCAAGCGCUGCUAAGCCAUCUCCUUGGCCCUUUAUUUUUUGAGAUGGAAUCUCCAUAGGCCAGGCUGGCCUCAAGCUCACAAUAUAGAAAAAAAAUGACCUUCAACUUCUGAUCCUCCUGCCUCUGCCCCCCAAAUACUGGAAUCAUUGGCAAGAGUCGCCAUG